rnacentral:rRNA from 1 species
GCGCAAGCUUGACGGAGCGACGCCGCUUGGAGGAGGAAGCCCUUCGGGGUGUAAACUCCUGAACCCGGGACGAAAUCCCCGAUGAGGGGGCUGACGGUACCGGGGUAAUAGCGCCGGCCAACUCCGUGCCAGCAGCCGCGGUAAUACGGAGGGCGCGAGCGUUACCCGGAUUUACUGGGCGUAAAGGGCGUGUAGGCGGCUUGGGGUGUCCCAUGUGAAAGACCACGGCUCAACUGUGGGGGAGCGUGGGAUACGCUCAAGCUAGACGGUGGGAGGGGGUGGUGGAAUUCCCGGAGUAGCGGUGAAAUGCGCAGAUACCGGGAGGAACGCCGAUAGCGAAGGCAGCCACCUGGUCCACUUGUGACGCUGAGGCGCGAAAGCGUGGGGAGCAAACCGGAUUAGAUACCCGGGUAGUCCACGCCCUAAACGAUGCGCGCUAGGUCUCUGGGUUUACUGGGGGCCGAAGCCAACGCGUUAAGCGCGCCGCCUUGGGAGUACGGCCGCAGGCUGAACUCAAAGGAAUUGACGGGGCCCGCACAAGCGGUGGAGCAUGUGGUCUAAUUCGAAGCAACUGCGAAGAACCCUUUACCAGGCCUUGACAUGCUGGGGAACUUAGGUGAAAGCCUGGGGUGCCUGCGAGGGAGCCCCAUGCACAGGUGCUGCAUGGCCGUCGUCAGCUCGUGUCGUGAGAUGUUGGGUUAAGUCCCGCCACGAGCGCAACCCCUGCUGUUAGUUGCCAGCGGUUUUAGCCGGGCACUCUAACGGGACUGCCUGCGAAAGCAGGAGGAAGGAGGGGACGACGUCUGGUCAGCAUGGCCCUUACGGCCUGGGCGACACACGUGCUACAAUGCCCACUACAGAGCGAGGCGACCCAGUGAUGGGGAGCGAAUCGCAAAAAGGUGGGCGUAGUUCGGAUUGGGGUCUGCAACUCGACCUCAUGAAGCCGGAAUCGCUAGUAAUCGCGGAUCAGCCAUGCCGCGGUGAAUACGUUCCCGGGCCUUGUACACACCGCCCGUCACGCCAUGGGAGCGGGUUCUACCCGAAGUCGCCGGGAGCCUUUGGGCAGGUCGCCGAGGGUAGGG